rnacentral:misc_RNA from 1 species
CAACCCUCAAGCCCAGCUUGGUGUUGGGGCCCUACGUUUGACGCAGGCCCUUAAAAGUAGUGGCGGACCCUCCCGGAGCCUCCUUUGCGUAGUAACAUAACGUCUCGCACUGGGAUUCGGAGGGACUCUCGCCGUAAAACCCCCCAAACUUUUACA